UACGGAGGGUGCAAGCGUUAUCCGGAUUUACUGGGUUUAAAGGGAGCGUAGGUGGGUCGGUAAGUCAGUGGUGAAAUCUUCGAGCUUAACUCGGAAACUGCCAUUGAUACUAUCGAUCUUGAAUUAUCUGGAGGUAAGCGGAAUAUGUCAUGUAGCGGUGAAAUGCUUAGAUAUGACAUAGAACACCCAUUGCGAAGGCAGCUUACUACGGAUAUAUUGACACUGAGGCUCGAAAGCGUGGGGGAUCAAAACAGGA
rnacentral:rRNA from 1 species